rnacentral:ncRNA from 2 species
GCUAACUUUCUGGCUGCCAGUCGCACCCCGCACCCGGGGUCAGGGAAUCCGGUGCGAAUCCGGAGCUGACGCGCAGCGGUGACGGUGACGGGCCGAGCACGAUGCCACUGGGCGACACCGCCUGGGAAGGCGCUCGGCCCGGUUUGAGCCGAAGCCCGAAGACCUGCUGGCCCUCCCGGCGUUGC